UACGAAGGGACCUAGCGUAGUUCGGAAUUACUGGGCGUAAAGAGUAUGUAGGCGGCUAGAUAAGUUAAUUGUGAAAGCCCAAAGCUUAACUUUGGAAUUGCAAUUAAAACUAUUUAGCUGGAGUAUGAUAGAGGAAAGCGGAAUACAUAGUGUAGAGGUGAAAUUCGUAGAUAUUAUGUAGAACACCAGUUGCGAAGGCGGCUUUCUGGAUCAUUACUGACGCUGAGAUACGAAAGUAUGGGUAGCGAAGAGGAUUAGAUACCCUCGUAGUCCAUACUGUAAACGAUGAUUAUUAGAUGUGGGGAAUUAUUUCUCUGUAUCACAGCUAACGCGUUAAAUAAUCCGCCUGGGGAGUACGACCGCAAGGUUAAAACUCAAAUGAAUUGACGGGGACCCGCACAAGUAGUGGAGCAUGUGGUUUAAUUCGAAGAUACGCGCAGAACCUUACCAACACUUGACAUGUUCGUCGCGAGACCAAGAGAUUGGUUUCUUCAUUCAGUUGGACGAAACACAGGUGCUGCAUGGCUGUCGUCAGCUCGUGUCGUGAGAUGUUGGGUUAAGUCCCGCAACGAGCGCAACCCUCACUUUUAGUUGCCAUCAUUAAGUUGGGCACUCUGAAAGAACUGCCAGUGAUAAGCUGGAGGAAGGUGGGGAUGACGUCAAGUCCUCAUGGCCCUUACGUGUUGGGCUACACACGUGCUACAAUGGUAUCUACAACAGGAAGCAAGACUGCGAAGUUAAGCAAAUCCCUAAAAGAUACCUCAGUUCGGAUUGCACUCUGCAACUCGAGUGCAUGAAGCUGGAAUUACUAGUAAUCGUGGAUCAGCGUGCCACGGUGAAUGCGUUCCCGGGUCU
rnacentral:rRNA from 1 species